rnacentral:rRNA from 2 species
CAUCGAUGAAGAACGUAGCGAAAUGCGAUACUUGGUGUGAAUUGCAGAAUCCCGUGAACCAUCGAGUUUUUGAACGCAAGUUGCGCCCGAGGCUAUUUGGCCGAGGGCACGCCUGCCUGGGCGUCAUGCC